CCUACGGGGUGCAGCAGUGGGGAAUAUUGGACAAUGGGCGAAAGCCUGAUCCAGCCAUGCCGCGUGUGUGAAGAAGGCCUUCGGGUUGUAAAGCACUUUCAGUGGGGAAGAAAGCCUUGGGGCUAAUACCCUCGAGGAAGGACAUCACCCACAGAAGAAGCACCGGCUAACUCCGUGCCAGCAGCCGCGGUAAUACGGAGGGUGCGAGCGUUAAUCGGAAUUACUGGGCGUAAAGCGCGCGUAGGCGGUCUGAUAAGCCGGUUGUGAAAGCCCCGGGCUCAACCUGGGAACGGCAUCCGGAACUGUCAGGCUAGAGUGCAGGAGAGGAAGGUAGAAUUCCCGGUGUAGCAGUGAAAUGCGUAGAGAUCGGGAGGAAUACCAGUGGCGAAGGUGGCCUUCUGGACUGACACUGACGCUGAGGUGCGAAAGCGUGGGUAGCAAACAGGAUUAGAUACCCGAGUAGUC
rnacentral:rRNA from 1 species